rnacentral:rRNA from 1 species
CCCUUAGAUGUUCUGGGCUGCACGCGCGCUACACUGAAGCUAUCAACACGUUUUCCCUCCCUGAGAAGGGCGGGUAACCUUUUGAAUCAGCUUCGUGGUAGGGAUCGGGGCUUGCAAUUGUUCCCCGUGAACCAGGAAUUCCUAGUAGACGCGAGUCAUAAGCUCGCAUCGAUUAAGUCCCUGCCCUUUGUACACACCGCCCGUCGCUACUACCGAUUGAACGUUUUAGUGAGGCAUUUGGACCGACGCAUCUCAGUUUAACCGCUGGUUCGUGUUGGAAAGACUUCCAAACUUGAGCGUUUAGAGGAAGUAAAAGUCGUAACA